rnacentral:rRNA from 1 species
AAACGCUUGAAGUCAGUCGCGUUGUUCAGGAUUCAGCCUUGCUUUUGCUUGGUGUACUUCCUGUUCGACGGGUCAGCAUCAGUUUUGGCCGUUGGAAAAAGGUCAAGGGAAUGUGGCACUUACGGGUGUGUUAUAGCCCUUUACUGUAUACAAUGGCUGGGAUUGAGGACUGCAGCAUGCCUUUAUGGCUGGGGGGUUUACCCUUACAUUACAUGCUUAGGAUGUUGGCAUAAUAGCUUUAAGCGA